AAAUUACUCCCUCCGUUCCAAAAUUCUUGUCUUAGAUUUGUCUAGAUACGGAUGCAUCUAAUACUAUAAUGUGACUUGAUACAUCCGUAUUUCGAUAAACCUAAGACAAGAAUUUUGGGACGGAGGGAGUACAUU
rfam:Triticum aestivum genome assembly, contig: Triticum_aestivum_CS42_TGACv1_scaffold_050596_1BS